AUUGAACGCUGGCGGCAGGCCUAACACAUGCAAGUCGAGCGAGCGGCGGACGGGUGAGUAAUUUCUGGGUAACUGCCUGAUGGAGGGGGAUAACUACUGGAAAAGGUAGCUAAUACCGCAUAUCAUAAGAUGUGCCCAGAUGUGAUUAGCUCGUAGGUGGGGUAACGGCGCACCUAGGCGACGAUCCCUAGCUGGUCUGAGAGGAUGAACAGCAACACUGGAACGGAGACACGGUCCAGACUCCUACGGGAGGCAGCAGUGGGGAAUAUUGCACAAUGGGCGCAAGCCUGAUGCAGCCAUGCCGCGUGGGUGAAGAAGGCCUUCGGGUUGUAAAGCACUUUCAGCGGGGAGGCGUUACCCGCAGAAGAAGCACCGGCUAACUCCGUGCCAGCAGCCGCGGUAAUAC
rnacentral:rRNA from 1 species